GUCAGCAUGGCAUAGUGGUUUGAGUGUUGAGACUAGGACUCUGGAGACCAAGGUUCGAAUCCUGGCUUGGCCA